AUUGAACGCUGGCGGCAUGCUUUACACAUGCAAGUCGAACGGCAGCGCGGGCUUCGGCCUGGCGGCGAGUGGCGAACGGGUGAGUAAUGCAUCGGAACGUGCCCAGUAGUGGGGGAUAGCCCGGCGAAAGCCGGAUUAAUACCGCAUACGACCUGAGGGUGAAAGCGGGGGACCGAAAGGCCUCGCGCUAUUGGAGCGGCCGAUGUCGGAUUAGCUAGUUGGUGGGGUAAAGGCGUACCAAGGCGACGAUCCGUAGCUGGUCUGAGAGGACGAACAGCCACACUGGGAAGGAGACACGGGCCCGACUCCUACGGGAGGGAGCAGGGGGGAAUAUUGGACAAUGGGGGCAAGCCUGAUCCAGCCAUGCCGCGGGGGGGAAGAAGGCCCUCGGGUUGGAAAGCCCUUUUUUUGGGGAAGAAAAGCAUCAGGGUAAUACCCCGGGGGGGUGACGGUAACCGAAGAAUAAGCACCGGCUAACUUCGUG
rnacentral:rRNA from 1 species